GCAUAUCACUAAGCGGAGGAAAAGAAACCAACAGGGAUUCUCCUAGUAACGGCGAGUGAAGGGAGAUCAGCCCAGCACCGAAUCCUGCUGCUUUUAGCAGUUAGGAACUGUGGUGUUUAGGUCACUCCUUACGAUGAAAACGGUUUACUCUAAGUCCACCUGAUUGUGGCUCAAGCCCAGAGAGGGUGCAAGGCCCGUAAGAGUAACGCCGUUUUCAUCCCGGAGUCGUCCUUGGAGUCGAGUUGUUUGGGAAUGCAGCUCAAAACUGGUGGUAAACUCCAUCUAAGGCUAAAUACUGCCACGAGUCCGAUAGCGGACAAGUACCGUGAGGGAAAGUUGAAAAGAACUUUGAAGAGAGAGUUCAAUAGUACGUGAAACCGCUUAGAGGCAAACGGAUGAAGCCGAAAUUAGUCCGAGGGAUUCAGCUGUUCUUGCUGUCGCCGCGUUGUCCGACAGAUCUCACGACUGUCUUCGGCGUUGAGUGGCGGCAGAUCGGUGCACUUUCCUCGUGGCUUUCACCACGACUGACAGCGGCGGCAGUCUACGGCUGGAGGAAGGUAGCUUCUUCGUUUCGGCGAAGGAGUGUUAUAGACUCUGGCGUUGGGCUGGCGUUGUGUCAUUGCUGGCGGCGCCCACCCUUUGGGUUCGCACGGCUAGUCUGAUGGGGYUGCCGGCGGGUUUUCUGCGUGCAGUUUUCUCGUCGCGUUAGCUUCACCUUGGCUGGUCCUCUGCGAGUAGGUGCCAAUAGUCUGUGGUGUUUUUGUAGGUCUUUCAUCUGACCCGUCUUGAAACACGGACCAAGGAGUCUAACAUGUGCGCGAGUCAUUGAAUUCUACGAAAUUCAAAGGCAAAGUGAAGGUAAAGGCUGUUUUAAUGCAGCUGAGGUGGGAUACGGCUUGUUGGUCGUCGCAGCACCGGCUCGUUCCAUUUGUUUUCAAAGGGGCGACGCAAGAGCGUACACGCUGGGACCCGAAAGAUGGUGAACUAUGCUUGCGCAGGUCGAAGCCAGAGGAAACUCUGGUGGAGGACCGCAGCGUUUCUGACGUGCAAAUCGAUCGUCAAACGUGAGUAUAGGGGCGAAAGACUAAUCGAACCAUCUAGUAGCUGGUUCCCUCCGAAGUUUC
rnacentral:rRNA from 1 species